rnacentral:rRNA from 1 species
AUUGAACGCUGGCGGCAGGCCUAACACAUGCAAGUCGAACGAGUGGCGGACGGGUGAGUAAUGUCUGGGAAACUGCCCGAUGGAGGGGGAUAACUACUGGAAACGGUAGCUAAUACCGCAUACCAUCGGAUGUGCCCAGAUGGGAUUAGCUAGUAGGUGGGGUAACGGCUCACCUAGGCGACGAUCCCUAGCUGGUCUGAUAGGAUGACCAGCAACACUGGAACGCAGGUACGGUACAGACUCCGACGAGAGGCAGCAGUGGGGAAUAUUGCACAAUGGGCGCAAGCCUGAUGCAGAGACGCCGCGUGGGGGAUGACGGCCUUCGGGUUGUAAACUCCUUUCACCAUCGACGCGGUAGAUGGAGAAGAAGCACCGGCUAACUACGUGCCAGCAGCCGCGGUAAUUC